GACGAACGCUGGCGGCGUGCUUAACACAUGCAAGUCGAACGGUGAAGGGGUCUGCUUUUGUGGGCCCUGGAUGAGUGGCGAACGGGUGAGUAACACGUGAGUAACCUGCCCCCUUCUUCUGGAUAACCGCAUGAAAGUGUGGCUAAUACGGGAUAUUCUGGGUCUGUCGCAUGAUGGGUCUGGGAAAGAUUGCGCCUUUGGGUGUUUUUGGUGGGGGAUGGGCUCGCGGCCUAUCAGCUUGUUGGUGGGGUGAUGGCCUACCAAGGCGGUGACGGGUAGCCGGCAUGAGAGGGUGGACGGUCACACUGGAACUGAGACACGGCCCAGACUCCUACGGGGGGCAGCAGUGGGGAAUAUUGCACAAUGGGCGCAAGCCUGAUGCAGCGACGCCGCGUGAGGGAGGGAGGCCUUCGGGUUGUAAACCUCUUUCGCAAGUGAAGCAGGCCUGCUCCUUGUGGGUGGGUUGACGGUAGCUGGAUAAGAAGCGCCGGCUAACUACGUG
rnacentral:rRNA from 1 species